CAUAAGGACGUCAUGGAGGAGAAUUGUGGGAUCGUGGCCUCUCUUGAUUGUGAUGAAUCGGAAAUCGAGAACAAAAGUGACUACGACAAAAUCCCCAGAGAGGAGAAGCCA